ACGAAUAUCACAUUGAAAACACAGGUUCUCGUUCCGAAGUUAAGCAAUGUCAGGCCCGGUCAGUACUUGGGAGGGUGACCACUUGGGAACACCGAGGGCUGUAGGCU